AAAGAAAGCAAGUGCAAGAAAAAGAAAAGAAAAAGCAAAGAAGGAAGGAAAGAGAGACCAGAUUGGAAAUCACCAAAAAGGGAAAAGAAAGCUAAAAGAAACAGCCCCUAGUGCUCGAACCAGGCUAUAAACCGUGCUAUUGAAGGGAAAACGAUCAAGGUGUUUCAUACCCCUGGGACAUUCCUCGUCCCAGUUUUGUCAGAAGUGUCAAGUGUUUCAGGCUCUAGGUUCCAGCACGAGCAAGGAUUGAGAGGUGGUGCUUGGCUGAUUUAGAGAUGGAUUUGUUU